UUUCCGUAGGUGAACCUGCGGAAGGAUCAUUACCGAAUUGUCAAACGGGUUGUUGCUGGUCUUCAAACGGGGACAUGUGCACGCUCUGUUUACACAUCCACUCACACCUGUGCACCCUCCGUAGUUCUAUGGUCUGGGGGACCCUGUCUUCCUGGCGUGGUUCUACGUCUUUACACACACUCUGUAAUAAAGUCUUAUGGAAUGUACGCCGCGUCUAACGCAAUACGAUACAACUUUCAGCAACGGAUCUCUUGGCUCUC
rnacentral:misc_RNA from 1 species